rnacentral:rRNA from 1 species
UACCAGCACCCCGAGUGGUCGGGACGAUUAUUGGGCCUAAAGCAUCCGUAGCCGGCCUUACAAGUCCUCCGUUAAAUCCAGCUGCUUAACAGAUGGGCUGCGGAGGAUACUAUAAGACUAGGAGGCAGGAGAGGCAAGCGGUACUCAGUGGGUAGGGGUAAAAUCCGUUGAUCCAUUGAAGACCACCAGUGGCGAAGGCGGCUUGCCAGAAUGCGCUCGACGGUGAGGGAUGAAAGCUCGGGGGAGCAA